UUAACCCUAGACAACAAGGGCUAGCAAAGAAAAAACCUUAGACUCUGUGAAUAGUCACUAUGAAUAGGUGAAACCUCGGGGUUAGAUCCGCAAAAGAUGAUGGCUUGGGCUCGGUUGCAGGGACCUAAUAGAUCUAGGGGGUUAUCUGCAGAUUUGCUAAGACACAAAGAAAAGGACAAACAUUACAGGGUUCUCCAAGGGCUUAAACGCAAAAGGGUUGGGGGCUUC
rnacentral:lncRNA from 1 species